GCAACCAUGACUUUGAUCAGCGUCUUCAUCUGCACACUGGCCCUCUGGACUCAAGGAUCCAGAGGUCAGGUGACUGUGACUCAGACUCCUUCAGUGCAAACUGUUGCUCCAGGAAACGCAGUCACCAUCAACUGUAAAACCAGUAGUGAUGUGUAUAAUGGUGACAAUCUACACUGGUACCUUCAGAAACCUGGAGAAGCUCCUAAACUCUUGAUCUACUAUGCUACUCGCAGACAGUCAGGGAUUCCAGAUCGUUUCAGUGGCAGUGGAUCUAAUACUGACUUCACUCUGACCAUCAGAGGAGUCCAGACUGAAGAUACAGGAGUUUACUACUGUCAGAGUUACCAUGAGAUCAGUCACUGGUUCAGUAGUAGCUAUGUGUUCACACAGUGUUAGAGCGUCGUACAAAAACCUCGGUCAGUGAGACUGCACAGAGAAACACUGCUGCAGCUGGGAGUGACUGCAGGUGCUGAGGGGGAGGAUGUGAUACAGCAAGAACAAGAAACAAGAAAACACACACACACACACACACACACACACACACACACACACACACACACACACACAUACACAUACACACAAACCAUAUGUAUAAGUUAUUCAACAUUAUUAUAACAGUGUUCCUAGUGGGGGCACGGUGGCUUAGUGGGUAGCACGUUCGCCUCACACCUCCAGGGUUGGGGGUUCGAUUCCCGCUUCUGCCUUGUGUGUGCGGAGUUUGCAUGUUCUCCCCGUGCCUCGGGGGUUUCC